CAGUAGCCGCGGUAAUACGAAGGGUGCAAGCGUUACUCGGAAUUUCUGGGCGUAAAGCGUGCGUAGGUGGUGGUUUAAGUCCGUUGUGAAAGCCCUGGGCUCAACCUGGGAAUUGCAGUGGAUACUGGGUCACUAGAGUGUGGUAGAGGAUAGUGGAAUUUCCGGUGUAGCAGUGAAAUGCGUAGAGAUCGGAAGGAACAUCUGUGGCGAAGGCGACUAUCUGGGCCAACACUGACGCUGAGGCACGAAAGCGUGGGGAGCAAACAGGAUUAGAUACCCCGGUAGUCCCUGUCCCUUAUAC
rnacentral:rRNA from 1 species